GUACUCAUUUCAGUGGUAUAUGUAUUAAAAGCAGAAAGAUACAGAGAAGAUAAGCAUAAUUCCUCCACAGGGGUGACAUGCAAAUCAUGAAGUGUUCCAUAUUAUU